AAAAGCUUACUUGUUCUAUUUUUCUUGUCUUGCCUUAGCAGCUGCCACCAGCCUUCCUUGAGGUUUCCUCCUUCUCAGUCUGACCCAUUAGAUGAAUAACCAAACUUGAUGCUUGAUGACGUCUUGCAUGUCCCUGGCAUUGACAGGCCACCUGUGGGUUGAUUGGGGUUUAAAGAGACUUCUCCAGUUGCAACAGAGGCCAACGCUAUUGUCUCUCCCCAAGCUACAAGGGUUUCGAUGCACUCAAGCUAGACUCAGGACCCAGCAUCUUCCUAACCCUCCAAGAGCAGUGGCGUUUUACCCAGGGGAAGCUAGUGAGAAUAGAAAGGGGAGGGUGUUCAGGUAUAAGCCCCUACACAUAUAACUCCCCGUAACCCAAACCUUUACCCUAUUCUUCGUGCUUUGCUUCCCACACUUCACUCCUUUUUGGGGAAGAAACAGCAAGUAGGUGGGGUGUGCGUGAGAGGAGGUAGACAUCCUUGUACACACAUCCAGAAAUUGUGAAAAAGAAUCUCCAAGACAAAAGUCAGGUGGACCAAUAAGCAGAGCUCCACUGCCAAGUUAACUAAAGGUGAAGGAGGUGGAGGAGGAGUAAACGGGAACGGGAGCGGAAGGGAGCAGGAGAGCUGUCUCACUGAUCAAGGUCACUGCCUUUCAAGAUAAAGAAGAACCACAGGUGAUGCUCCUAGGUCCACGAUGACCUUACAGAAUUAAGGUUUCAGGAGCCAGAUGAGGGCAGCUGCAGAAGAUUGGUGAUGUCCAUAUACCAAAGGUCCUGAGAGCUCUGCUUUCAGAUACUUGGUUAUCAUUUACUAUUAAAAGAUGGUUGGAAGAAGAGAGCAAGUCUGCUGUAGGUGUGUAUCCUCUCCAGACAAAAGACUUAUCAUUACCCAUCAUACUGCCAACUCUUACUCAAGAAAUUAUUAAUAGGGUGCGGGUAAGAGGGUUGGAGAAGAGCUCGAGCUAAAAAACAGGGAUUGUUCCCAGGUUUGGGGUCCUGCCCAUUGGGGUAUCUACCUACAAAGUCUUCCUACAUCUCUUGAUGGGUCAGGGGAAUCAUCUGCUUCACUUUUGGAUUGUUCUCUUUCAGACUAAGGUUGAAGGUCCUGGGUUGUCUGCUCUACUCGAUUCCUCUGGGCUCACACCACCUUUGUUAAUAAUUUACCAGGCGGUAAUAACUGAUCUUUGUGCCAUUCAAGAGGCUGAUAAUCUUCUCGGCUGAGAGAUCUUGCCUUUCUCUUCCCCGCCCCCACCUCCUACCCCCUCCCGCUAAGUCUUCUCAGACGGCAAUUCCAGGAAAAAUCAACCCCUUGCUGACAAUAACCUUGCUCCCGGAGUGUUCGGGUAGAGCAUUUCAGCACCAGAAUUCAGGACAGCGCCCCGGGAACUCGUAACAGAAAGGAAUUCCCGCCCCUUUGCCUCACUGCCAACUGAUUCCCCCUAGCUCCCGGGGCUUAAUUGUCUUCGUCUUUACCUGAUUGUGGGGUUCUGUAGGUGAGAAGACAAUCAGAGAAGGGCAGGGUGUCUCCUGUCAUUCUCUAGGGUUAUCUUCAGAGUCAGCCUUCCCUAUUUAUAUCCCCAACUUGGAAAAGGAUUAUGAAUUUGGACUGAGUUGCAAACAAAAGCUUAACUGGAAACGAUGGAAGGGGGUGAGGAGGAAAGAGUGAGAGAAGGUCUGAAGAAGUCUCCAAUCAUGUUAAAGAUGAAAUAGGGAAAAAUGAGUUUGAUUUCUCUGGAAAAUAUCCCUGUCGCCAUCUUAUGCACCCCUUUCUCUCUUGUGCCUACUGUAAAACAUUUGAAAUCUUUCACCCUCUCCCUCAACCUCCAUUUUCCUUAAUGACCCCUGUGGGGUGAGAGCUGGGAGCAGAGCUGGGAGAUGAGCUGUUAUUGUAGGAUGUGGGAAUGGACUCUGCAGAGCUCUGGAGAACAGUGAGAAUAAUAUAGGACUAAUUUAGAAAAAGGCAGAGAAAGUUGUCUCCCACAAACCAAUGGAGACUGGAAAGUCCACUUCUAUUCCAAUACAGGGAUUUUUUGAUUUACAGACUGAUUCCCAGAGGUGGGACUAAGCCUAAUCAAAGCCCACUGCUAUAGAAACUUUGCAUCUUCUUGAGAGGAUCUGGGAUUGCAGAGAAACCAGGAACAGUGGUGAGAAGGAAGAGAAUAAAAAUGUGAGCCAACAGAGGAACAACACUAAAGUGUUGAGAAAAACAAGAAGUCCGACACUGAAACAUCCCUGAAAAGCUUAUGGGAACUAUCUGCCACAUCUCCAGCAUUUUCCACAAGUAAGAGGAUGAAUGAUACAUCUGGAGAGGAGACUCAAUACUAAGUUUCUGAGUGAACAGACAACAUGGCAAACAACUGACUGAAGUGGGGAGUGAGCUAGAGUUCUCUAUAGACAUUUAUUCAGAAAGUAUUAAAUGUUUACUAUGUACUUAUGUUAUGGUCUUUCCUGCCCUCUUGGUGUCUUGUUUCUGGCAUGAGAGAAUUAUGUGAAAGUAUAAAGAAAAAUUAUAUCUUAGAUGAGUCUGUUUGUUGCUUUUAUGUCUCAGGUAUUUAGAGACCUAGAAUUUGUAUCAGUGCUAGAUACGCUUAUAGCUCAUCCAGUCAAAGGAUGUUACUACUUGAGAGAAGAAUGUCAUAUAAAUCAACUUGCCUUAUUAAAUGUCUACUCUGUGCCAGACAUAGUGCUAAGUGCUUGACAAAUCUCAUUCAAUUGUCAACAUCUGGAAUAUGUUAUCAUUUUACAACUGAGGAAACUGUAAUUGUAAAUGUUGUAUGUAUAUGUGUGUGUGUGUAUUUACACAUCAUAUAUGCACAAAUGCUAAAAUACAGUAAUAAUGAAAUACAAUAAACUGAAUACAA